UCUGUUGGUAGCAACAGCAAUAUGCACUACUUGAAUAGCAAGGCUGGUUAAUUUGCAUAUUCUGUUUUUUGUGUGUUUUUUUUUUUAAUUGGGGUAGCCUCCAAAAUAUUGGGACAUGUAAAAAAGACAACUCUGUUCCGCAGAGUAGCUGUUGACGUUAUAGUUGUGCAGGCACUUUGUUGACUCUAGAGAACCUCGGGCCAAUCGCACAUCCCCGUGGCGGCGACUUUGCAUGCGGAUUUCAUCCAUAUUAACUUUCGAUGCCAGUUUCUGCGCCUACCAUGGUGACCACAGGUAAUGGGGAAUCAGGGUUCCAUUCCGUACAGGGACCCUGAGAAAUGGCUACCACAUGCAAGGAAGGCAGCAGGCGCGCAAAUGACCGACUCCCGACGCGGGAAGGUAGUGAUGACAAAUUACAAUUACAGGGCCUCUAAAGAGUCCUGUAUUGUUAUGAGUCCAGUUGAAAUCCUUUAUCUCUGAUCAAUUGGAGGGAAGUCUGGUGCAGAGCCACUGACCCGUGCGUGCUGCAGCUGAAACUCCACUA
rnacentral:rRNA from 1 species